rnacentral:lncRNA from 1 species
AAAAUAAAAAAAUCUUUCAUAUCGAUCGUUAUUGUUCCCCUUUCAACUUCAAGUCGGACACUUGGUAUUAUAAUGAUCGAUUGGGGAACAUUUUUUUUACAUUCAUUAUAGGUAUUUAUCAUUUUGUACUUUAUGUUAAGGAAUCUGUAAAGACUACGUGAAAAAAUCAGUGUAAUUUUUUCUGUGUUGGCAAACGUGUCUCACGUCAUUUUAGGCGCGUGUUUUGUUUUUCGCUUUAUUUUGAUUUUGAGGUUAUAAACUUGUUUGGCGGUCUGUUGUUUGUUGAUGCCUCCAAUUAAAGUUCUUCCUUCCCCUCUGAAAGCUCUCAACUUUCAAAGUUCCUCUUCUAUAACUGUGAAAUUCAAGUACUGUAGUUUACCUCUCUAUAAUAUGCCUUGCUGAAUUCUUUACUAUAUUUCGUCUGUUGUGAUGCCUAGAUCCUAACCAUUGCAUAGUGUUGACUUCUCCCAACCACUGUCUUUUCAUUUACAUUUUGCCGAUCAUGUCCUGAAAUUUCUCACAAAAAUCAAGUAUCAAUCUCAUUAUCAUGAGUGAUAAUCCUGGUGUUAGCUUAUUCCAAGGGAAUGAAGAGUUGGAAAUCGAAACAAAUACACAGAGACUAGAGGAACAGGAAGCUCUUGAGGAUGAGAGACGAAGGCAAGCUGAGAUUGGAAAUGCCAUCGCCUCAGCAUUUGAAGAUCUGGAGGAUGAAGAUGAUCUCAAAACAAGUGAUAGUAGUUUUAGCAGUUCUCCUAAUCAGUAUGAUCCUCCUCAGUAUUAUGAGCAUUUGAUGAAUAACAAUGUGAAAAAGAACACGCAAGACAACUCGGAACUCAGACCAUACAUGAAUGGAGGGUAUCACAUCAAGGAACUCCAAGAUAUUAUCGAUAACAGCCAUUUGUACAUAACUCAGCCUUCAGCAGAGCAGUAUCAAAAAAAGCACGCUUUCGAAAAUGGACACAUUUCACCCGAGACAUUCCAACAGCCAGACCAUACCAACACGCACCAGAAUUUUUACAAUCAAACUAUGGGGAUGAAGGUGACUCUUCAACUUGAUUUACCAUACCUUUAAGCUUGUAUUUUGUUUUUCAAUUUUAUAUAACAUGCCUUCGGUCAUGAUCAGCAAAUAAGGAGCUUUCCGGAAAAAGGGCACAUAGCAAAAAAUAGCGUUUCAAAAAAAUGCAUUUCAAGUUUCCAUAAUUAAUUUCUGGCCACUGGUGGUACCUUUCAUCACAGCUUGGACUCCCGAUUUCGAACGAGAGUCACUGUCAGUGGCCAUAGAGUAAUGAUCAAAACUACAAAUGCAUUUCUCUCAAACGCAAUUUUAUGCUAUGUGCCCUUUUUCCGGAAAGCUCCUCAAAUGUAUCCUCUAAUUCCCGGGAAUUCUGAGGCCUUCGAAGAACUGGUAAUGAAUGAGUCUGGAUAUUAUAUUAUAUCUGUUCUCUGGUCCCGAUGUCCAGACUAUUUUGUCAUCCUCUCAUUUUAAGUUCUAGGUACCUGAAGUAAAUUUUCCCACUUUGCUCAUCACUCAAUGAUGUAAAAAAUGUCAGUUUUUGCAUUACAUUUAAGUAGGGUGAGCAGGGGCAGUAAGGUUUUCUCGAUUAUCAAUGCCACUUAAUUAACAGCAGCAAUAAAUUGAUUUCCUCGAUUAGUGAGACUUUGUUUCCCGUAAGAAAAUGUAUUGCAAGUGCCAUUUUCGUUUAAAUUAAGUUUUUAAUGGUUCUAGACUCUAGGUAUCUUUACCUAAUUACAAAAAUAAUGGCUUUUUGUCAAGUAAAAAUCAUCCCAAAAAUCAUUGAAAAUCAUUAUAUUUUACAAAAGUGCUGAAGAUUUUGAUCGCUUCUUUUUCUCCUGUUAAGUUUAACUUUAACACGAGUGCUAGUUUUCACAGCUUUAGCCGUUAUUUUUUUUUUAUUCUAAUGAAAGUAUGAGUUGCCAAAAUUUCAAUUGAAUAACCUCCCCAGUCGUCGCACAUCAGUUUUUUGUGUCUGCUGUAAAGUUUACGCUUUGAUACUGAAGAUAUUCUAUCUGAAAGAAGGAGGUGAAGGCAUUCCAGUAAGUCAUUCAAAGAAAACAGAAAUUAAAGAAAAGAAGAAAAUAUAUUUUAAUAUCUACAAUUAAUUCCUCGAUCUUCUAACCUCAAGGUCUGUACCUAUUUACAUUUAAAAAUCAAUUUAAUCAUUCUUCAUCUUCGGUUUUCUUUUUCUUAUUGAGUAUAAACUUUUCUUGACUAAUUGUACCAAAUGUUUUUCCCCUGUCAAAUGCUGCAAAAGGACUGAGGAUGUUUCAAAGCAGCCCUCUUAUAUUAUAUCGUUAAGGUCAGUGUCACUCAGAGUUCCAAAGAGCAUCAGUUUUGGUUUACUUUAUUAAUAUUUUGUGAAAUUGAAUGGAUGUCUUUUUGCUCUUGAUAACUUUCUCUCAGAAAACUGAAGAAAGAAGUAUCUUUAGUCUUAAUCAAACUGGACAGAAAGUCAAUUCUAAUUAAGACUCAGGAAAUAGUGGUUCAUGU